rnacentral:lncRNA from 1 species
UUUCUACUUUGCCUCUUUUUUCCAGGAGGGAUAAGACUGAGAAGAAGGAAUGGAAGAGAAAAUCGCUUUGGGUGAAAGGGAAGGGCAGUAAGAAGCGGUCACCUGGUAUCCAGCAGAUGGGCCAGCCUUCAUGCAGAAGGUAAAUGGAGGGAAACCAUCCCAGAGUAAGCACUAAAGCAGCAAGGAAGAAGUAGCACAGAUUGGCGUUCUCCUCUGUAUGGAUGGAGACAGUGAGUACAAAGGCAGGCUCAGAGUGGAGAAGAGUCUUGUCUGAAGUCACCAAGUGCGUAAGCGGCAAUCACAGAACCAGAAACCAGGACUCCUCCUGCUCAUCAUGCCACCUUGCAGCUUCCUGGAGCUCCAGAUGCCUGGGUGAGAGAGAGAUACUUAUUCUUAAUCCAUUCAUGUUGUCUUCAGUACGUGGACCCAGGGUGCAAAGCAGAGUCAGGUAUUUUUUGACUUUUAAUGUGGCAAGUUUUCAGUUUUGAACCUCUUUUUAAUGCCGUCCCAGCUCUCUUCCUUUGAUGGGAGGAUGAGCUAUGCAUUAAAAUAGGAUAUCUACAACUGACCUGUUGAGUUUUGAGUGCUUAGGGAGGUUCCCAAACCACUUCUCCUGCUACGUAGCUCAAACGGCCUCCAUUUGUAAGGUCCUCAUGUUCUCAGUUAGAAUGUAAAGCAAUGAGCUAUUAUUAGCC